rnacentral:rRNA from 1 species
AACGAACGCUGGCGGCAGGCCUAACACAUGCAAGUCGAACGCUGUAGCAAUACAGAGUGGCAGACGGGUGAGUAACGCGUGGGAACGUGCCCUUCGGUUCGGGAUAACUCAGGGAAACUUGAGCUAAUACCGGAUACGCCCUUUGGGGGAAAGAUUUAUUGCCGAAGGAUCGGCCCGCGUCCGAUUAGCUAGUUGGUGAGGUAAAGGCUCACCAAGGCGACGAUCGGUAGCUGGUCUGAGAGGAUGAUCAGCCACACUGGGACUGAGACACGGCCCAGACUCCUACGGGAGGCAGCAGUGGGGAAUAUUGGACUAUGGGCGCAAGCCUGGUCCAGCCAUGCCGCGUGAGUGAUGAAGGCCCUAGGGUUGUAAAGCUCUUUCGCCAGGGACGAUAAUGACGGUACCUGGAUAAGAAGCCCCGGCUAACUUCGUGCCAGCAGCCGCCGUAA